GACGAACGCUGGCGGCGUGCUUAACACAUGCAAGUCGAACGGAAAGGCCCCUUUGGGGGUCCUCGAGUGGCGAACGGGUGAGUAACACGUGAGUAACCUGCCCUUGACUUCGGGAUAACUUCAGGAAACUGGGGCUAAUACCGGAUAGGAAUCCUUGCUGCAUGGUGGGGGUUGGAAAGCUUCGGCGGUUUUGGAUGGACUCGCGGCUUAUCAGCUUGUUGGUGGGGUAGUGGCUUACCAAGGCUUUGACGGGUAGCCGGCCUGAGAGGGCGACCGGCCACAUUGGGACUGAGAUACGGCCCAGACUCCUACGGGAGGCAGCAGUGGGGAAUAUUGUACAAUGGGCGGAAGCCUGAUGCAGCAACGCCGCGGGCGGGAGGACGGCCUUCGGGUUGUAAACCGCUUUCAGCAGGGGCGAAGCUUGUGGUGACGGUACCUGCAGAAGAAGCACCGGCUAACUACGUG
rnacentral:rRNA from 1 species